UACGUAGGGGGCAAGCGUUGUCCGGAUUUAUUGGGCGUAAAGAGCUCGUAGGCGGCUCGUUGCGUCGGCUGUGAAAACCCGCAGCUCAACUGUGGGCGUGCGGGCGAUACGGGCAGACUUGAGUACUGCAGGGGAGACUGGAAUUCCUGGUGUAGCGGUGGAAUGCGCAGAUAUCAGGAGGAACACCGGUGGCGAAGGCGGGUCUCUGGGCAGUAACUGACGCUGAGGAGCGAAAGCGUGGGGAGCGAACAGG
rnacentral:rRNA from 1 species